UACGAAGGGGGCUAGCGUUGCUCGGAAUCACUGGGCGUAAAGGGUGCGUAGGCGGGUCUUUAAGUCAGGGGUGAAAUCCUGGAGCUCAACUCCAGAACUGCCUUUGAUACUGAGGAUCUUGAGUUCGGGAGAGGUGAGUGGAACUGCGAGUGUAGAGGUGAAAAUUCGUAGAUAUUCGCAAGAACGCCAGUGGCGAAGGCGGCUCACUGGCCCGAUACUGACGCUGAGGCACGAAAGCGUGGGGAGCAAACAGG
rnacentral:rRNA from 1 species